GGAGGGUGCGAGCGUUGUUCGGAAUUAUUGGGCGUAAAGCGCGCGUAGGCGGGUCGUUAAGUCUGGUGUGAAAGCCCUCGGCUCAACCGAGGAACUGCACUGGAUACUGGCGGUCUUGAGUCCUGGAGAGGGUGGCGGAAUUCCCAGUGUAGGGGUGAAAUUCGUAGAUAUUGGGAGGAACACCGGCGGCGAAGGCGGCCACCUGGACAGUGACUGACGCUGAGGCGCGAAAGCGUGGGUAGCAAACAGGAUUAGAUACCCUGGUAGUCCACGCCGUAAACGAUGGGUACUAGUUGGUGCGGGUAUUGACCCCCCUGCGCUGACGCAGCUAACGCAUUAAGUACCCCCGCCUGGGGAGUACGGCCGCAAGGCUAA
rnacentral:rRNA from 1 species